rnacentral:rRNA from 1 species
UACAGAGGGGGCAAGCGUUAUUCGGAAUUAUUGGGCGUAAAGGGCGCGUAGGCGGCUUGGCAAGUGGAAGGUGAAAUCCCUCGGCUUAACCGAGGAACUGCCCUCCAAACUGCUUGGCUUGAGACCGGGAGAGGUGAGUGGAAUUCCCAGUGUAGCGGUGAAAUGCGUAGAUAUUGGGAGGAACACCAGUGGCGAAGGCGGCUCACUGGACCGGUACUGACGCUGAUGCGCGAAGGUCAGGGGAGCAAACGGG